GAAGGAUGCGUGUGUGCCGGUCUGCUGUGCAUGUGUGUAUCUGCAUGUCUGUGAUGCAUGCGCAUGCGUCUGUAUGUGCAUUGUGUGUGCAGGACUUUGAUUCUGUGCAACUCUGUGCAUAUCUAUGUGUCUACAAAAGUGUGCACAUGUGUACUCAUUUGUGUGUGUGUAUCUGUGUGUCUGCAUAUUUGCACAUGCUUGUCUGUAUGUUUGUGGUAUGUUCCGUCUACAUGAGUGUAUGUGGCUGGGGCUGUGUCUGCAUAAGUAUGUGUCUAUCUGGGAGUGCAUAUAUGUGUGCAUGUGUGUGUGUGAGAUUGUGCAUGAGCUAAGACAACGACAGGCACUUCCUGGGCAGGAAGGCUGUAUCCAGGGUCCUGCACAUAGUAGGUGCUCAGUGAACAUUUGCUGAACUCAGCUGAACUGAACUGAAUGAACUUGCUUCACUGCCACUGGGCCCAAGAGAUGGGUGCUCUCCUAGGCGCCCCUUCCCCUGGCAGGGGCCGAGGACGCUGCUGCUGUACAAAAGUCCCCAGGACGGCUUUGGCUUCACUCUGCGCCACUUCAUCGUGUACCCACCCGAGUCGGCCGUGCACUGCAGCCUGAAGGAGGAAGAGAAUGGAGGCCGUGGAGGAGGACCCUCCCCCCGGUACCGCCUGGAGCCCAUGGACACCAUCUUUGUCAAGAAUGUGAAGGAAGACGGCCCUGCCCAUAGGGCGGGGCUUCGCACAGGAGACCGGCUGGUAAAGGUGAAUGGGGAAAGCGUCAUUGGGAAGACCUACUCUCAGGUCAUAGCUCUGAUCCAGAAUAGUGAUGACACUCUGGAGCUGUCUAUCAUGCCCAAGGACGAGGACAUCCUCCAGCUGGCCUACUCCCAGGAUGCCUACCUGAAAGGGAACGAGCCGUAUUCUGGAGAGGCCCGCAGCAUCCCAGAGCCACCCCCGAUCUGCUACCCCCGCAAGACCUACGCCC
rnacentral:lncRNA from 10 species